UAAGUUCCUUCACUGAACAGUGAGUGAUUUCACUAAGUCCACAGAUAUUUACUGAUCAUCUACUGUAUGUGCUAGAUGCUGUGCCAGGAGCUGGCAAUAAGAUAAUGAACAAAACAAAAACCCAUGUCCUCCUGGAGCUUUGACUCUAUGGAAUGCCCGAACUGGGAUGCAGUACUCUCGCCAGGGCCACGUGUCCUCCUAGGUGAGCAAAAGGCGCGUGAGGUGCCGCCCUGGGACCAGUCGGCGGGUGGACUUCGUCCUGGGCGGGAGGAGAGGGCCGCACCUCGGACAAACGCUUGGCUGGGCACGUCGCCUGGGGCAGGAGCUGACACCCGCCCGCCAAGCCCUCUCCAGACGGCAGCAGAUCCUGGCGGGGAGAAGAGCCCCGAGAGGCAAAUUCCAGCGGGUUUGUUUACACAGCGCGGGGGAGGGGGCCGAGCCGGGUACUGGGGCCCGACUGACUGGGAGCCCCAGCUCAGACUGGGCCAGCACCAGCUGUGCAGCCUGAGGACUGCGCACAAACACCCCUCCGCUCCACCCCACCCCCGCUGCACGCCGGUACGCGUCUCCCCUCCUCUUCACACGCUGUUCACAAACAUUAGCAUACGUCUGUCAAAGAGUUUCACACGCUUCCACACACGCGGCUGUGAUACUACUCACAAAUGCUUUCACACUAGCGCGCCAUCACACGUAUUUCAUGUGUGGUUACAGUUUAAAUCACCCUUCAUUCCCAGAUUCUCACAGUCCAUAUUCAAGAGCCCGUUUGCACGGUGUACGCGUGUGUUGUCACACAUACUCAGGUCAUCAGUGCCCUUUAACGUAUCUAAAAUAAGAACGGACCCCUCUCGAGCCCAGGGUCCCGCGUGUCGCUCCUGCGCGCAGGCACUGAUGGGAUGGACAGAGGCGCCCUUAGCCCCGGCCGCACACGUUACACAGUCGAUCACACACAGCGUUGCACUUUAUUCCCGGCAUCUAGGCGAUGACACAAUCUCCAGAACAAAGACAACAUUGACAAACCCAACAAAAACAAACAGCCGCGUGUGUGUGGGGAGGGGCAGUCGAGCGCAGAGUCCGGGAAGGGAAUGGGGGAGGAGGAGAGGGUGGGAACGCCGGCGCCCGAGCCUGGGCAUGCGAGGCUCGGAAAGGUACGGGGCAUGUCAACAACCUCGCACCCUGCAAGGUCCGCGCGCGGAGCAGCAAAGCCAGGUCCUGCACCCUCGCGUUCGCAGACUGGCACUUGCGACUUCUUCCCUUCUCCCGCACGCGACUGCGCCGAGGGACGCAAGCCCACCACCCGGACAGGCUUACAAAGCUCCACGCAGACCCACAAGUGAGCGAACACACAGCUCUGAGCAGAUCUGCCGGGGCAGAGGAGCGCGCUUCGCUCUUUCCUGCACCCCUAGCCUCCUCGCCUACCCAGCCCGCCCCUCCUCCACCUCCCCAGCCCCCAAGCCCCGGGGCAGCCGCGCGCCGGGCGGGGCGAGGGCGGGGCGGGGUGUCGGGCGGCGCCGGCCCAAAAGGCGGAGUCGCAAGGCGAAGGGGCCAGAUCUGUGA
ensembl:lincRNA